UACACUCCUGCGGGAGGCAGCAGUGGGGAAUAUUGCACAAUGGGCGCAAGCCUGAUGCAGCCAUGCCGCGUGUAUGAAGAAGGCCUUCGGGUUGUAAAGUACUUUCAGCGGGGAGGAAGGCAAUACGGUUAAUAACCGUGUUGAUUGACGUUACCCGCAGAAGAAGCACCGGCUAACUCCGUGCCAGCAGCCGCGGUAAUACGGAGGGUGCAAGCGUUAAUCGGAAUUACUGGGCGUAAAGCGCACGCAGGCGGUCUGUCAAGUCGGAUGUGAAAUCCCCGGGCUCAACCUGGGAACUGCAUUCGAAACUGGCAGGCUUGAGUCUUGUAGAGGGGGGUAGAAUUCCAGGUGUAGCGGUGAAAUGCGUAGAGAUCUGGAGGAAUACCGGUGGCGAAGGCGGCCCCCUGGACAAAGACUGACGCUCAGGUGCGAAAGCGUGGGGAGCAAACAGGAUUAGAAACCCGAGUAGUCCCAUGA
rnacentral:rRNA from 1 species